GUGGGGAAUUUUGGACAAUGGGCGAAAGCCUGAUCCAGCCAUGCCGCGUGCAGGAUGAAGGCCUUCGGGUUGUAGACUGCUUUUGUACGGAACGAAAAGACUCCUACUAAUAAAGGGGGUCCAUGACGGUACCGUAAGAAUAAGCACCGGCUAACUACGUGCCAGCAGCCGCGGUAAUACGUAGGGUGCAAGCGUUAAUCGGAAUUACUGGGCGUAAAGCGUGCGCAGGCGGUUAUAUAAGACAGAUGUGAAAUCCCCGGGCUCAACCUGGGAACUGCAUUUGUGACUGUAUAGCUAGAGUACGGUAGAGGGGGAUGGAAUUCCGCGUGUAGCAGUGAAAUGCGUAGAUAUGCGGAGGAACACCGAUGGCGAAGGCAAUCCCCUGGACCUGUACUGACGCUCAUGCACGAAAGCGUGGGGAGCAAACAGGAUUAGAUACCCUAGUAGUCC
rnacentral:rRNA from 1 species